CAUUACACUCGGAGAGGAAGAGAAGGCAGCGGACAGGCGGGGCAAGGACAGACAGCAUCCCAGGGGAGCAGACAUCAGGCCCCUCCCUUCUUCACAGCCGCAAGCGCCACUCCAGCCAGGCAGGACCCUGAGCUGCCUCCCAGGCCCCAGGCUCAGCCCUCCAGGGACCAGUCCCCAAAGGCUCUCAACGCUAGGGUCAGGUUGGGCCAGUGUUCCCUAAAACCAGCACGUGCUCAGGUCCCCCUGGAGCUGUAGAGAUGAUACCCUGGGCCCCAGACUGUGCCGGGAAAGACUCACUUGGGCUUGUGGGGGCUGAAGACUCUGUCUCCAAGCAAAAUCCCAGGACCUCUGGAGUCCAGGGUCCCCAGUUUUCAUUCCAGAAGCGCCCCACUCCCCAGAGCUGCCACCACUCCCCCUUCCAAAUCUCACCACAAAGGCCUCCGGAUUGAGCCCACCUCCCUCAGGCCUAGCCUAACUCUCCAGAGCCUGGCUGAGCUCCAUGAUGCCCUUGGGGCCUGGCUCACACCCCUGCCUGCAUCCCAGCUCUCAAGGGUAAUUGUCAAGGCUGGCUCUUCCCUUGAUCCUUAGAAAGGCUAAGUAUCAAGGAGUCAAUACAGCAGCCAAAGCCCGAAAGAUCCUUCACCCAGCCAGGCAAGGGCCUGCAGGGAAGACCGGGGACACAGAAGGACCUGAGAGCUGCAAACACCAGCCAUCCUGGGGUGGCUCCUGCAGAGACCCAGUUGGUGGCUCAGAGUCCCAGCCAAGAAAGAGCUCAUGGUAUUCCCAAGGCGGGGUAGCCAGUCCCAGGAACUCUGGGCCCUGUGAGCCAUCUCCUCCCCUUUGAUCUUCAGACAGUCAAAGAAGACACCAUUCAGAUCCAACCCCAGGCAGGCUUGACCUAGACAGUGGGCCCACCUCCCAGCCACCGCCCUCUGCCUUUGUGACGUCAGAGCCUGGUGGGGCCAAAGCGCAGCAGGGCAGUGCGUGGACCCUUCUAGAGUCUGCCCAAGCUGCACCCCUAAGCAUCCACCAGCAAGAGCUUCAGGCUAGUAGAAGACUGCAGGACCCCUCAACUCUGCAUCUCUGAUAGCGCCAGAAAUCGUAAGAUCACGCUUUCCUCCGGCCGAGCCCCGGCUUCAACUCAAGCCCCCUUGCCAGAUCAUGCCGAAGUCGGGCCUCCUGCCCUGCAGUGAGAGCUUCUGUCUGUCCUUAAGGCCCUCCUCCCGGCCUGCUUCCACAGGCUUCCAGGCAGAAUUGGGGCCUCAUCUUUGGUGUUGGACGGACAGAGAUCCAAGCCUGGCUCUCCACUGGGGCUACGUGCCCCCAAACAUUACUCUGCCACCCUGAGCUUCCAUUCCCUCGGGUAAAACAGGACACGGUGA